GUGCACACCACACACAUACAGGGCAGGGCUGGCCACGCUUUUCCACAAAUCCAGUUUCCGAAGAAGAAUAAUGAGAUGCUCCACGGUCCCCUCAGAAGAAGGGUUGCUAAAAAGCAACAAGACUCUAGUGAGUGAAGUCUCUGAGCUGGUGCUGAUCUCGGGGAAGGCGAAUGUGGAUGAAAGGGCUAUAGAAAGAUUUUUUAAAGAUCUAUAUGAAGAAUAAGAAGUUAGUCCCUUUCGGACAAAAAUCUUCAGUAAAAUUGAUCUGUGCCCCAGGCACACAAAGAAGCAGGAAUCUGGGUAUUCUCACUGUCAAUAUUCCAUAUGUCUAGCCCCUGGAAACCUAAAACAAGACCAGAGAAUACCAAGGAAGGCAGAUUAUUUGGAAGACAUGGAUGCCAAAGUGCUUCUCAAUCCAGUCUCAGAAGCCAGAGAUGUCAGUGGGUGCUGCUGUUUUAUUUCCUGUGAAUCGGAGGACGAUGAGAAACCAAAUGAAAAUAUUGCCACAGUUAAGAUUGAAAAGAAGGCAAUUUAUGAGUGAGGUGUGGAUUUCAAAUGAGAUCUUCUCUGUUGACAGAGAGCCUUUGCUCUAAGCCAAUACCUGAGCUUCUGCCAGUUUGAACAAUUAUAAUGGAGGAAGGAGAUGAGGGAUUAGAAAAAACAAAGCUGACAGAUGGCAAUUUGUGAAGAGUUGAAUCAACAUAAAUUAUAUCUCAUCAGUGAGCAGAGGAAAGAGAGGAUGUUUUCCAGUGUUCGGCUAACCACUGAGAUGGUGAACAUGCCAGAGGCACAGCAAGCAAACCACUGGGCACCCUCCAGAUCUGGAUGCAAGCACAGAGCUGGAGAAAUACCCUUUAUUGGAAAGCCAUAUGGAUUGCAAAUUGUGGAUAGACAUCUAUUUGAAACAAUACAAUAAAUGAACAUCUGGGAUUUUGGUAGGUGUCAGUCAUAGACUACAGAAAACCAGAACAAAAUUGCUCAUAACUAAAUAUGAUAAUGCAGAAAGUAUCCAAGACUCGCCAGUUCAAAACCCACAUUUUUAAUAGUGUAUAUGGUUAAGUGUAAAUGUUUUUUUCUGAGGUUAGAAACAGUUCACUGAAAUCAUAUAAAAUGUUCAAGUUAUCAAUUUUUUUCUGUAGCCUUAAAUUUUCAUUCUUUGAAAUUAAGUAAUUAAACAUUAAUGUUAACUUUCCAAACUUUUGUAACUAUCAAGGGAAAUAGAAAAGUCAGCUUGUCAGACUCAAUACAUUGUAAUAACAUAUAAUAUAAAAUAACAUAGAUAUGGAUACACAUAAAAAAUUACUUUAAGUCAUGAUAAUUAUAACUUUGGGGAUUAAGUAAAAAAGAUCUCCAAAUUCAAAUAUAACAAAUAUUAGGUUCAUGUGAAAUAAAAAUCUUUUAGCAAGAUUUCUGCGUGAAAAUUUUUCAUUGUAUGAAAACCCUGAGUUUCUCUAGUGAACAAACUAGAACCCAGUCAGAAUAACUAGACCAGCAGAUGGCACUAAAAGGAAAACUAACAGUCUCAGAUUUUCCUAGGGCUUAAAAUUAUAGAACGGGAAGAUUCCAAAGUGAAUAUAAAAUAGAUUGAAAUCUAUAUUUCUGAUUAUAUAUGUAAAGGCAAAGAAAUAGAUUUUGGGAAAAGCAAUAUAAGGCUUAUGUCUACUUUUUUUUUCAUUUUGAAUGAUCGGCUGUGGUACAAAUAAGUUUUACACAUCCUAAAGAUUGUUUCUAGUCAACAAAUAUAUUGUCUCAAGUUAUCAUUAAAAUGAUUAUGUAGAGAUAUUAUUAUAACAGUUGUUCUACUGGGAAAAGCAGCGGGUGGUUAACGCUUGUAAGAAACGAACAGCAUCGCAGUGGGUGGCCUAUUGCAAGGGGCAGUUUGGGGUUCAUAAAGAUUUUUGUGACCCUCCUGCUUGCCCCUACCAUUUGAGGAUUUUGUGUAGGACAAACACUUGUAAAGGCAGAAAACAGUAUUUAACAUUUAAUGAAGUCAUCCUCCACUGACGCUUUACAGCAGAUGUGCUUGACUUAGUAGAAUGUUGGAAAGAAAAUAUAGAGACAAACACAUUAAAAAUUAUCAGACAUCCUCGUAGCCUCUCCCUGCAGGUGUCUCUGAAGGGUAAUUACCUUCUGCACAAGAUGGAAAUAAAAUGGGGAAAAUGUUUUGGUACAAAAGUACAAGAAGUGAUUUAACGAUGGGCGGGAGUCAUAAGCUCCAGAUGCAUUAUUUUUCUUUCUGUUACUUCCAGUUUUUCCUUUUUUUCAAGAUGAGUUCUACAUUAUAUGCAGAACUUACAGAGGAACAAUAAGACAGUCUUUAAUAAUUCAUAUCUGAGAUGAGUGAAAAUAGAAGGGUGCAUCUUAUUAUGAAGACCUCAACUAGAUUAGUUAUUCCAGCACACAGGAUACACUACAAAACCAUCUUUAUUCCCACCGAAAAGGCACAUUCUUUUAUUUUCUGUCUUGUAAAUUUCUGAUGUUGGAGGGCCUAAGAUUCUCGGACAAGCACCCAUUCGAUUCUUAAUGGUUUGCUUCCCUUUGGGGUUUAAACUUAAGAUCUAGAUGUAGUUUUGCCAGCCAGCAAGAGGAGAAAAGGGAGAGAAGGAGACAAUAAGAAAAUGAACUUGGGGAUCCAAAAGGUCACUUUUUCCGUCAUGCUAGAUGCAUAUUUUGAUGUGAACUGGCAGAAAGACUUGCCGCAGGAAGCCGUGUUAUCAGUGGCAUCAGUACCGCCUUGUUGAACAACUGAACAGUGUAUGCUGCUUCCUCCAGACCAAAUUCUGUCAUUUGAAUCUGAAAUGGCAGCUGUGUCAAAACAAAUUUACAUUAUGAAGACCUAAUUCCAAUUUCGAAAAUGCUGAUUCAAAAAUCUGUGUAACUCAGCAACAAUCAAUUAUGUUUGUCAACCUCUUUGAAUAACUGUUUAUUAAUUUCUCAGCACUCCAAGACUGGAUCCCACAUGGCCCCGUGGUAUAAAAGCUGUAUUUUCUGAAUCAAUAAUAACUGUCAUUUAUUAGACUUCUGACAUCUAACAAUCCGGCAGACUAGACAUUAUGAAGAGUCGAUUAGCUAAAGUACCGAUAGAUUCUGAAUAGAUUAUAAAAAGCACGAUUUUUCAAGCAUUGCUGACCUCAUAAGCAAACGCAGAGUUUUCAAGGCCAAAACAAGCAAACAAAAACAACUGCAAACAAGAGAACAUAACAGUGGGCUAAGACUGGACUUGAGCAUAGCAAGAAGCUGGAUUUUUCCUGGGGGCAGACGCCCACACCAGGAGUAGAUUUGGACCUGGGACCCACCUCUGAAAGUGGAUAAAGUUGAAAUGUUAGGAGUUCCUUGUAGGCACAUUAUCUGUGGAGGAAAGCAACCCAAGAACACAGAACUCUCAUGGAUUGUGUGGUCAAACAUAGUCAAACACACAAUCUUCAUAUACCUAAGGAAACAAACCAGCAGAGUGAGAGUUUGCAAAAGCAAUUCAUCAGUAUAGAGUAUUUUACUUUCUGAACAAAGACUUCAGAUGAUUGGCAUGAUCAGAUUUGAAAUAGGAAAGAACUAUUACAAUCCAAAAUAGAAUUUUUAAAAAUAAGCAGGAACUAAGGACUAUCAAAAAUGCAGAUGAAAUAAAAAGUAUAAUUCUUGAAAUGUUCUAGACAGCAUGUUAUGCACAGAUGAAGAGAGAAUUAAUAUCAUACAAUUUAAUCAUUAAAUCGUUGAAUUUAUCAUUCAAUUUAAAAGGAAGCCCUGCACCUCCUGAAAGAAGGGAAAAAAUAAUAAACAUCAAGAUAAAUCCAAGUUACCCAGAAUGCAGCCAGGAGAUAAGGAGUUAAAGAAAAAAGAUUAUGUGGAGGGCACAAUGAGAAGGCUGAAACAUAAAUGUCAUCAGUAUUUGAGAAGAAAAAGUGCAGAACAUAGGGGGGCGGAUAGAGGAGAAAAACAAAUUGUGGGGGUCACAGCAGAAAUAAUAGAAGCUAAAAGACUGGAUAAUAACACCUUCAAAGUGCUAAGAAAAAAACAACUGGCAACUCGUAACUAUAUACCUGCUGUGCCUCCUGGGUUCAAGCGAUUCUCUUGCCUCAGCCUCCCAAGGUGCCAGCCACCACAUCUGGCACAUUUUUGUAUUUUAAGUAGAGACAGAAUUUCACCAUGUUGGGCAGGCUGGUCUCAAACUCCUUGUCUCAAGUGAUCCUCCCACCUCGGCCUCCCAAAGUGCUGGGAUUACAGACGUGAGCCACCGCACCCAGCCUGAAAAAAUUUUUGUAUAGAAAAUUAAAAUAUUUAAAUUGUGAAAUUAAAUAACGAGCUAAGAUACUGAUUUUUUAAAAAUACCAUGUAAAUUGAAAGAGGGGUAAUUGGAUUUAAUCUUCUAAGCCUUGUUAUUGUUCAGAAGCAAGGUUAAAGUAGAGAUGCAGGUAACAUUUUGAGGGUAAAUACUAAAAACACAGAAACAAUGAAUCACAAAUCAGUACAAGGAGAAAGGGAAAAAUAAAAACAAAAAAGUUGAAAAAAAAAAAAAUCAUGGAAAAUGGAGGACAAAUAGAAGGCACAAAGCAAGAAGCUUGGGUCAAGUCUAG
rnacentral:lncRNA from 1 species